UGAGGAAUAUUGGUCAAUGGGCGAGAGCCUGAACCAGCCAAGUAGCGUUCAGGAUGACGGCCCUAUGGGUUGUAAACUGCUUUUAUAUGGGAAUAAAGUGAGGGACGUGUCCCUUAUUGCAUGUACCAUACGAAUAAGGACCGGCUAAUUCCGUGCCAGCAGCCGCGGUAAUACGGAAGGUCCAGGCGUUAUCCGGAUUUAUUGGGUUUAAAGGGAGCGUAGGCUGUUUGUUAAGCGUGUUGUGAAAUGUAAGAGCUCAACUUUUAGAUUGCAGCGCGAACUGGCAGACUUGAGUGCGCACAACGUAGGCGGAAUUCAUGGUGUAGCGGUGAAAUGCUUAGAUAUCAUGACGAACUCCGAUUGCGAAGGCAGCUUACGGGAGCGCAACUGACGCUAAAGCUCGAAGGUGCGGGUAUCGAACAGG
rnacentral:rRNA from 1 species